CGUGUGAUUGCAGUGCAGGUAAUCACGGCUACGCGGCGAGCCUGUGCACGGCAGUAGACAAGAAGAUUUUUCUAACUUCGCCUGCUGUUUAAAGUUCAAUGCUUCGAUUCCCCCUAUAAAAGCGAGGCGGGUUGCAACGGCCGACGAUCCCGAGGGGAGAGAGAGAAGGGGAGGGUGGUACUUAAUGCGAACGUAACUCCCCCUCCCAGUAUCGGCGGCGGCGAAGAACAUAGAAGAGCGAGAGGACGGGGGAUUCCAGGAGAAAGUAGGGCGAGCGAGGCGCAAAUGGGGCUCUGCGUCCGCGCCUCUUCGCUCCUUCUCGGCCUCCUCCUCCCGCUCCUCUUCUCAGUGGAGGUGGUGUCGGCGGCGGCGCAGAAGUUUGGUAUCAACUAUGGCCAGAUUGCCAACAACCUGCCGGACCCGACGCAGGUGGCCGGGCUCCUCCAGUCACUGAACGUGAACAAGGUGAAGCUCUAUGAUGCGGACCCCAAGGUGUUGAUGUCCUUCGCCAACACCGGCGUCGAAUUCAUCAUCGCUAUCGGGAACGAGAACCUGCAAGCCAUGGCCGACAACCCCGGGGCCGCCAGGCAGUGGGUGACGCAGCACGUCCAGCCGUUCAUACCGGCCACCCGCAUCACCUGCAUCACCGUCGGCAACGAGGUGUUCUCCGGGAACGACACCGGCAUGAUGGCCAGCCUCCUGCCGGCCAUGAAGGCGAUCUACGCCGCGGUCGGCGACCUCGGCCUCCGCGGCCAGGUGACCGUCUCGUCGGCGCACUCGGUGAACGUGCUCGCCACCAGCUUCCCGCCGUCGUCCGGCGCGUUCCGAGAGGACCUCGCGCAGUACAUCCAGCCGCUGCUCGACUUCCACGGGCAGACGAACUCGCCGUUCCUGAUCAACGCGUACCCGUUCUUCGCCUACAAGGCGAGCCCUGGGAGCGUGUCGCUGCCGUACGUGCUGUUCGAGCCCAACCCCGGCGUGCGCGACCCCAACACGAACCUCUCCUACGACAACAUGCUGUACGCGCAGAUCGACGCCGUGUACGCGGCCAUGAAGUUGAUGGGGCACACUGACAUCGGCGUCAGGAUCUCCGAGACCGGGUGGCCGUCCAAGGGAGACGAGGACGAGGCCGGCGCCACCGUGGAGAACGCCGCGGCGUACAACGGCAACCUAAUGCAGCGGAUCGCCAUGAACCAGGGGACGCCGCUCAAGCCCGACGUGCCCAUCGACGUGUUCGUGUUCGCGCUGUUCAACGAGGACAUGAAGCCCGGGCCGACAUCGGAGCGUAACUACGGCCUCUUCUACCCCAACGGCUCGCCUGUCUACGCCAUCAACACCGGCGCCGGUGGUGCGUCAGGACGGACGGGGCCGUUCGACCCGUACUCGGCGAAUACCAUGUUCUCGUCGGCGUCCAGAUUGACGAUGACGUCUGGGAUGGGGGUGGUUGUCCUACUCGCCGUAUUAUUCCUCUGAGCUUCCUCCACACGUACCACGCAGCAGAGAAAGAAAGUCCGACGACUGAACGAAUGAUUGGACUAGUUACCUUCUGACUAACGCAUCCAGUACUCUUGAGCUGUCAUUUCAUCGGAGCCGGCCGAUUGCAUGUGUCGCCCUGACACCGAGGAUAAUGAUAAUCUAUGGUUCUGAAUGGACAGCGAGAUCUGUACUUUAGUCGCACUAACUGUGGAGGAGGAAGCUUAGAUAAACCUGGGGCACUAGUUAGCUUGACCAUGUCCUUGUUAUUGCUAAUCGGUCAGUCACGUCACUUUGAAAGAACUGAAAGCACAGGUUCAAUUCUCAACGAAGUGGCUGUAACUGUCUUUGAGCAACGGCAAGCUCAUGAUUGAGCUCGUAGAAUUCAUUUUGCUACCUUUCGUUUUCCAUUUUAUUGGUGAGGUUACUGUGCCUAUUCAGCUUAUAGAUUCGUAGCAGAUUUUACACGGAACUAUACCUAUAGAUGUGAUGUCGCAUUUGUUACAUUUAAAUACAGAGAUACUAUUUUUUUUGUCUG